rnacentral:pre_miRNA from 14 species
AUAGUCAUCGAAACGAGUAAAUCUCAUCCUAAUCUGGUUGCAUUUUCAAUACUUUUUGCUACCGAUUUGGUUUGGGAUUGGCUUGUCUAGUAUUGACAUUUUA